GUCUUUUCGAGGUAGGAGUCGACUCCUGUGAGGUAUGGUGCUGGGUGCAGAUGCAGUGUGGCUCUGGAUAGCACCUUAUGGACAGUUGUGUCCCCAAGGAAGGAUGAGAAUAGCUACUGAAGUCCUAAAGAGCAAGCCUAACUCAAGCCAUUGGCACACAGGCAUUAGACAGAAAGCUGGAAGUUGAAAUGGUGGAGUCCAACUUGCCUGGACCAGCUUAAUGGUUCUGCUCCUGGUAACGUUUUUAUCCAUGGAUGACUUGCUUGGGUAAGGACAUGAAGACAGUUCCUGUCAUACCUUUUAAAGGUACAUGUUUUAUUGAUGUUAACGUUAAUUGAUUGAGCUACUGUUAGUGAUGAUUUUAAAAUUAAAGCAGAUGGGAAUCUCUCUGAGAAAGAAAAUGGAGAUUAAUCUUAAACUGAAACAGUAGUUGGGAAAUCUUUUAGAAAUCCACCUAUUACUACCUAUUGGUAAAGGAGAUUAAAUUUCUACAGGUAUGGAGAGUCGGCUUGACUACACUGUGUGGAGCAAGUUUUAAAGAAGCAAAGGUAUAGCAGUUCCAAGUAUUUUUUUUUUUUUUUUAGACAAGAGUCUAGCUCUUGCCCAGAAUGGAGUGCAGCGGCACUAUCAGUUCACUGCAACCUCUGCCUCCCAGGUUCAAGGAAUUCUCCUGCCUCAGCCUCUUGAGUAGCUGGGAUUACAGGCAUGUGACACCAUGCCUGGCUAAUUUUGUACAGCUAUGUUGUCCAGGCUGGUCUCGAACUCUUGACCUCAAGUGAUACUGCCCGCACUGACCUCCCAAAGUGCUGGGAUUACAGGCGUGAGCCACCAUGCCCCGCCUCAAGUCUGGUUUUUAAGUGUUGUAAAGCCGAUACAAUGAUGAUAACAUAGUUCAGCAGACUAACGCUGAUGAGCAAUAUUAAGUCUUUCGCUCCUAUCUGAUGUAUCUGGCGGUAACAUUCUAGUUUAUGCCCCGAAAAGGGGAAUAUAGCCAUUCUAUAAUGUUUGGAGAUUUUGGAUUACUCCUAAUUGUAUGCAAGUUGUCUUACUGUGUAUUGUCCCUUAAUUUCAGGACUCAGAAUUCAUGAUUGAAGAAAUGCAGGCAGACCUGUUAUCCUAAACUAGGGUUUUUAAUGACCACAACAAGCAAGCAUGCAGCUUACUGCUUGAAAGGGUCUUGCCUCACCCAAGCUAGAGUGCAGUGGCCUUUGAAGCUUACUACAGCCUCAAACUUCUGGGCUCAAGUGAUCCUCAGCCUCCCAGUGGUCUUUGUAGACUGCCUGAUGGAGUCUCAUGGCACAAGAAGAUUAAAACAGUGUCUCCAAUUUUAAUAAAUUUUUGCAAUCCA
rnacentral:lncRNA from 1 species